GACGAACGCUGGCGGCAUGCCUAAUACAUGCAAGUCGAACGCACGAAGUUGAAAAGCUUGCUUUUCGACCAAGUGAGUGGCGGACGGGUGAGUAACACGUGGGUAACCUGCCCAUAAGAGGGGGAUAACAUUCGGAAACGGAUGCUAAUACCGCAUAUUUCAAAUGACCGCAUGGUCGCUUGAUGAAAGGUGGCUUCGGCUACCGCUUAUGGAUGGACCCGCGGUGCAUUAGUUAGUUGGUGAGGUAAUGGCUCACCAAGACAAUGAUGCAUAGCCGACCUGAGAGGGUGAUCGGCCACACUGGGACUGAGACACGGCCCAGACUCCUACGGGAGGCAGCAGUAGGGAAUCUUCCGCAAUGGACGAAAGUCUGACGGAGCAAUGCCGCGUGAGUGAAGAAGGUUUUCGGAUCGUAAAACUCUGUUGUUAGAGAAGAACAAGGAUGAGAGUAACUGCUCAUCCCCUGACGGUAUCUAACCAGAAAGCCACGGCUAACUACGUGCCAGCAGCCGCGGUAAUACGUAGGUGGCAAGCGUUGUCCGGAUUUAUUGGGCGUAAAGCGAGCGCAGGCGGUUCUUUAAGUCUGAUGUGAAAGCCCCCGGCUCAACCGGGGAGGGUCAUUGGAAACUGGAGAACUUGAGUGCAGAAGAGGAGAGUGGAAUUCCAUGUGUAGCGGUGAAAUGCGUAGAUAUAUGGAGGAACACCAGUGGCGAAGGCGACUCUCUGGUCUGUAACUGACGCUGAGGCUCGAAAGCGUGGGGAGCAAACAGGAU
rnacentral:rRNA from 1 species